rnacentral:rRNA from 1 species
UACGGAGGGUGCAAGCGUUAUCCGGAUUCACUGGGUUUAAAGGGAGCGUAGGUGGCUUUGUAAGUCAGUGGUGAAAUAUGGCAGCUCAACUGUCAAGGUGCCAUUGAUAACUGCGGAGCUUGAGUACAGAUGAGGUAGGCGGAAUUGACGGUGGUAGCGGUGAAAUGCUUAAGAUAUCGAUCAAGAACACCUAUAGCGAAGGCAGCUUACUAGGCUGUAACUGACGCUGAGGCACGAAAGUGUGGGGAUCAAACAGG